rnacentral:rRNA from 1 species
AGAGUUUGAUCCUGGCUCAGGACGAACGCUGGCGGCGCGCCUAACACAUGCAAGUCGAACGGAGCUUAGAGAGCUUGCUUUUUAAGCUUAGUGGCGAACGGGUGAGUAACGCGUGAGUAACCUGCCCUAGAGUGGGGGACAACAGUUGGAAACGACUGCUAAUACCGCAUAAGCCCACGGUACCGCAUGGUACUGAGGGAAAAGGAUUUAUUCGCUUUAGGAUGGACUCGCGUCCAAUUAGCUAGUUGGUGAGGUAACGGCCCACCAAGGCGACGAUUGGUAGCCGGACUGAGAGGUUGAACGGCCACAUUGGGACUGAGACACGGCCCAGACUCCUACGGGAGGCAGCAGUGGGGGAUAUUGCACAAUGGGGGAAACCCUGAUGCAGCGACGCCGCGUGGAGGAAGAAGGUCUUCGGAUUGUAAACUCCUGUUGUUGAGGAAGAUAAUGACGGUACUCAACAAGGAAGUGACGGCUAACUACGUGCCAGCAGCCGCGGUAAAACGUAGGUCACAAGCGUUGUCCGGAAUUACUGGGUGUAAAGGGAGCGCAGGCGGGAAGACAAGUUGGAAGUGAAAACCAUGGGCUCAACCCAUGAAUUGCUUUCAAAACUGUUUUUCUUGAGUAGUGCAGAGGUAGGCGGAAUUCCCGGUGUAGCGGUGGAAUGCGUAGAUAUCGGGAGGAACACCAGUGGCGAAGGCGGCCUACUGGGCACCAACUGACGCUGAGGCUCGAAAGCAUGGGUAGCAAACAGGAUUAGAUACCCUGGUAGUCCAUGCCGUAAACG